GUGUUUACUCGGCAGCGUAUGGUACCUUCACUUCGCGGCCGGUAGUGCGACUGAGCAGUUGUCCGUCACCAUGAAGGGCUUGCAGGUGCUUACAACGCUAAUGCUGCUCUGCACAGUUUCACACUCAACAUUCAAGGGCAAAGGGCAUAAAAGCAAACACGUCGAGACGCCGUCAUACUUUUAUUCCUACUCUUCCUACCCCG